rnacentral:rRNA from 1 species
AUUGAACGCUGGCGGCAUGCCUUACACAUGCAAGUCGAACGGUAACGGGCCUUCGGGUGCCGACGAGUGGCGAACGGGUGCGUAAUACAUCGGAACGUGCCCGAUCGUGGGGGAUAACGAGGCGAAAGCUUUGCUAAUACCGCAUACGAUCUACGGAUGAAAGCAGGGGACCGCAAGGCCUUGCGCGGACGGAGCGGCCGAUGGCAGAUUAGGUAGUUGGUGGGAUAAAAGCUUACCAAGCCGACGAUCUGUAGCUGGUCUGAGAGGAUGAUCAGCCACACUGGGCCUGAGACACGGCCCAGACUCCUACGGGAGGCAGCAGUGGGGAAUUUUGGACAAAGGGCGCAAGCCUGAUCAGCCAUGCCGCGUGCAGGAUGAAGGCCUUCGGGUUGUAAACUGCUUUUGUACGGAACGAAAAGCCUUCUUUUAAUACAGGAGGGUCAUGACGGUACCGUAAGAAUAAGCACCGGCUAACUACGUG